rnacentral:misc_RNA from 1 species
AAGUCGUAACAAGGUUUCCGUAGGUGAACCUGCGGAAGGAUCAUUAACACUUUGUUAACUCAAUAUCAACCCAAUGUGAACUGAACCAUCCCUAUCCACUGUAGUUUGCUCGUCAAAAUGCGGUGCGGUAGACAAUACCCUCUCUCACUAGUAGUUGUCAGUGACACAGCUUCGGUUGUGUUGCUGAUGAUGAAAGUUAUUCACCAUUUUCACCCUAUACUAAUAACUUGACUAAUCUUCAUAAACUUACUAACUGCUUCUGGUGGUUGAUAAGCUUUACGAAAUAUUGAACAACUCUUAGCAAUGGAUAUCUUGGGUCAU